AGCUGGAGGAUCCCAUCUGCUGUUCCCACAAAGUAGUGGUGCUGCAAUAGGGACAGUUACACCACCCCUGAGCACGUUACAGGUCUUGCAAUUCAAGAAGAGCACCUGGGGGCAGGAUUGAUACCAACUUUCAGGUUCACUGCACCUUUCCAGAGUCUCCCGCUUGAUGCGCCAAUCCACAACUUUAAACCGGGUGACCAGGUCCUGGUACAAAAGUGGAGAAAGGAUCCUCUUGCAGAAAGGUGGGAGGGACCCUACCAGGUGCUGCUGACUACACACACAGCUGUUCGCUUAUCAAACAGCGAUAAGUGGACCCAUUGCUCGAGGGUGAAGCCUUUUUAUCAGGAGGACACCAACUCCCAGGGUGUGGUCACUCCGGAAGCUGAUAACACACGGGAACAAAAAGCCAGCCAGUGGAAAAGCGAACCUGCUGGAGAUUUGAAGUUACGCUUGCAAAGAUGUGGACCCUAAUCUAUUUGUUGGGACUCUUGUCCCUUUUAGAUAUAUCGAACCCAAAAGUUAUGUCCACCUAUUAUACUUGUUCUCAAAACAAGCUUGCAACCCUCAGUAAGGCUCAGUACGACUGCAAAAUCGCUUAGCUCUUGGUUAUUUACUUGCAAGUGAAGGAGGGGUGUGUAAAAAGCUGAACUUGUCAAACUGUUGUGUCAAUAUCGACAAUAAUGGUGAGAUAAUCAAAACCUUAGCAGAUGAAAUGGAAAAGGUCGCACAUGUUCCCGUCCAAACAUGGAAUGGGUGGAAUUUUGAUUGGUUUACAUCCUGGCUUCCCAAUUUUGGAUGGUUAAAAGGAGUUUUCCUCGUCUUGUGCCUGCUAAUGUCAAUGCUUUGCUUGCUCCCCUGUAUUUUACCCUGUCUCAUAGCCCUCAUAAAACGGACAAUUCAGUCAGUCUUCAACCAAGAAAUGCUUGUGCAUUAUCAAAAAUUAGCACUGGCUGAAACCUAUUAAGAUUAGAGUUAGAAAGCAUCUUGAGGGGGGAACUGUGGCAAAAAUGUCUCAUGAUCUCACUACACAAAGGACCUCACAGCUGAGAACUGUAAUCUCACUACACAAAAGGCUUCACAGCUGAGAACUGCAAAUUGUUUCUUUUUUCUCUUCUUUCUUCCUGCACUAGAUAAUCAGUAGCAUAAUAAAGAACAGUCCGAACAAA